UGGCCCUACGGGGGGCAGCAGUGAGGGAUAUUGGUCAAUGGGGGAAACCCUGAACCAGCAACGCCGCGUGAGGGAAGACGGUUUUCGGAUUGUAAACCUCUGUCCUCUGUGAAGAUGAUGACGGUAGCAGAGGAGGAAGCUCCGGCUAACUACGUGCCAGCAGCCGCGGUAAUACGUAGGGAGCAAGCGUUGUCCGGAUUUACUGGGUGUAAAGGGAGCGUAGACGGCCGUGCAAGUCUGAUGUGAAAACCCGGGGCUCAACCCCGGGACUGCAUUGGAAACUGCAUGGCUGGAGUGUCGGAGAG
rnacentral:rRNA from 1 species